CCUUGUCCUAGAGGUGCACGCGUCCUUGCUCGACCUCGAGGUGGUCCCUGUGGCCAUAGUUUCCGCUACCGGUGCCCCUCCCAUGGUGGAUACGGCGGUUGCCUCCAUGCUGCCCCCACUGCCACUGCCAUUGCUGCCGGCCUUGCUGCCUCCGGGUGCUGCAGUGGCGGCCGAUGCAGCUGGGGUGAUGGCAACUGCAGCGAGCGCCGAGCAUCGGGAUCUAUUAUCGCUGCCACUUGUUGUCUCCUCCUCUCAUGUGCCUUUGACGCCUCUCCUUCCCGAUUCUGAAGGGGGGCUUCAGGACCUUCCC
rnacentral:misc_RNA from 1 species